AAUGAACGCUGGCGGCGUGCCUAACACAUGCAAGUCGUACGAGAAAUCCCGAGCUUGCUUGGGAGAGUAAAGUGGCGCACGGGUGAGUAACGCGUGGGUAACCCACCCUCGAAUCUGGGAUAACUCCGCGAAAGCGGUGCUAAUACCGGAUAAGACCACAUUCCGUUCGCGGAAAGAGGUAAAAGCUGACCUCUCCAUGGAAGUUAGCGUUUGAGGACGGGCCCGCGUCCUAUCAGCUUGUUGGUGGGGUAAUGGCCUACCAAGGCACCGACGGGUAGCUGGUCUGAGAGGAUGAUCAGCCACACUGGAACUGGAACACGGUCCAGACUCCUACGGGAGGCAGCAGUGAGGAAUUUUGCGCAAUGGGGGAAACCCUGACGCAGCAACGCCGCGUGGGUGAAGAAGGCUUUCGGGUCGUAAAGCCCUGUCAGGUGGGAAGAAACUCUUCAGCACUAAUAAUGCUGAAGUCUGACGGUACCACCAGAGGAAGCACCGGCCAACUCCGUG
rnacentral:rRNA from 1 species